rnacentral:rRNA from 1 species
UGCCCUAGUAACGGCGAGUGAAGCGGCAACAGCUCAAAUUUGAAAUCUGGUCCCCAGGGCCCGAGUUGUAAUUUGCAGAGGAUGCUUUUGGUAAGGCACCUACCGAGUCCCCUGGAAUGGGGCGCCAUAGAGGGUGAGAGCCCCGUAUGGUAGGACGCUGAACCUCUGUAAAGCUCCUUCGACGAGUCGAGUAGUUUGGGAAUGCUGCUCUAAAUGGGAGGUAAAUUUCUUCUAAAGCUAAAUACCGGCCAGAGACCGAUAGCGCACAAGUAGAGUGAUCGAAAGAUGAAAAGCACUUUGAAAAGAGGGUUAAAAAGUACGUGAAAUUGUUGAAAGGGAAGCGCUUGUGACCAGACUUGCGCCGGGCGGAUCAUCCAGCGUUCUCGCUGGUGCACUCCGCCCGGUUCAGGCCAGCAUCGGUUUUCGCCGGGGGACAAAGGCUUCGGGAACGUGGCUCCCUUCGGGGAGUGUUAUAACCCGUUGCGUAAUACCCCGGCGGGGACCGACGACCGCGCUUCGGCAAGGAUGCUGGCGUAAUGGUCAUCAGCGACCCGUCUUGAAACACGGACCGAGGAGUCAAGCAUUAGUGCGAGUGUUUGGGUGUAAAACCCGCACGCGUAAUGAAAGUGAACGUAGGUGAGAGCUUCGGCGCAUCAUCGACCGAUCCUGAUGUUUUCGGAAGGAUUUGAGUAGGAGCAUUAACGCUUGGACCCGAAAGAUGGUGAACUAUACUUGAAUAGGGUGAAGCCA